GCUGGCGGCGUGCCUAAUACAUGCAAGUCGAACGCGAAAGUGGAGCAAUCCAUGAGUAGAGUGGCAAACGGGUGAGUAACACGUGGGUGACCUGCCUUCGAGUGGGGGAUAACGUUCCGAAAGGGACGCUAAUACCGCAUAACAUCCUGCCUUUUAAGAGGUGGAGAGCAAAGCUGGGGAUCGCAAGACCUAGCUCUUGAAGAGGGGCCCGCGUCCGAUUAGCUAGUUGGUGAGGUAACGGCUCACCAAGGCGACGAUCGGUAACCGGCCUGAGAGGGCGGACGGUCACACUGGGACUGAGACACGGCCCAGACUCCUACGGGAGGCAGCAGUAGGGAAUUGUUCGCAAUGGGCGCAAGCCUGACGACGCAACACCGCGUGGAGGAUGAAGAUCUUCGGGUCGUAAACUCCUUUCGAUCGAGACGAAUAACUUCCGGGCUAAUAACCUGGAGGAAUGACGGUACCGAGAGAAGAAGCCCCGGCUAACUCCGUGCCAGCAGCCGCGGUAAUACGGGGGGGGCAAGCGUUGUUCGGAAUUACUGGGCGUAAAGGGC
rnacentral:rRNA from 1 species